UAAAACGAAGGUGUGGCUCUGCUCUCUGGU
rnacentral:piRNA from 1 species